CAAUAACCAAUGAUGGAGAACAGUAGUUAAGAACCACAUGAAAAGAGAGGAAAUGCCUCAGGCUGAAAACAUUUCCGCAUGCUGCCUUAAUGAAUGAACACUCCGUAGGCUUCACUCUGAAAAAGAUAUCUUUAGUAGGAGAUGGACGUAGACAGGCGUUAACUGUUUUAAAGAGGAAGCAUGAUUCUGUGCUUCAACUAGGGUGGCACCACGGGAAUUCAAACUCUCGUCCCUUGU
rnacentral:ncRNA from 1 species